rnacentral:tRNA from 1 species
GCCGAAGUGGCGGAAUUGGUAGACGCGCACGUUUGAGGGGCGUGUGGCGAAAGUCGUGUGGGUUCGAUUCCCACCUUCGGCA